GUUGGCACUAUGCUCGCUUCUCUCUCUUCUCUUAAAAUCCCCACUGCCGCCGCUCUCUCUCUUCCAGCUCCGAGAGGCCGGCUGUACCACCGCCGGCGCGAUACUCUGACGCUGCCCCGCCACUCUGAACCGGCCCACACCAUUGUAUAGAGAACCGCCCUCCGCUGCAUUCGCUUCUACCUCCGGGAGGCAAACGUCCGUCUACUUCCUCCGCGCUCACUGGACUGCCGCCGCGCCACUGUGUCGCGGCCGCACCAUUUGCCGGAGAGCCGCACUCUCCCGUAGCUCGGACAAGCGUGGACGAAGAAGUCCAACAGCAGAACACCUCACGGCGGACAUCCCCGAGGUUUAUUGGAGGGUCAGCAAAAAGGACUGAGUCUGUAUCGACUUCGACCCCGAAUUCCAGAAAAUGCAAAAUCUCCGGCGCCAAAAACUGCAGUCCUAGAAAGCCCAAACCAACUUCAACAUUUGUCCAUAGGGGAUUCCUACAAUGUUGCUCUGAAUUCCAAGAUUCCAAUAUUCGAUGAAUUCAAAGACCAUUUAUCCUAAGAUUCACACACAGACGAAAAACGACGACUGUGGUUUCUGCGUCAUCAGACUACGUGAAUGCCACAAUGGAAAGAACUUGUCGGCGAAAGAUAACCAUGUAUGUUUAACGCACUAAAGUGUGCGAUACUCUUGUCCACCACCGUCUGAAUGAUUUGAACCCUGACCGCACAGAGCUGGUGAGCUCUUCUGCUGUAUUCUGAAGAAACCAAAUGAUGGCCAUUUGUUUUGUUAUGCCGAUGAUUCAGAAGCAUAAAACUGUAGCACAUAUGGAAACCAAUUCCUUACAGAGGGGCGACACUUAGCAUUUCCUGCUUUCUGAUCACCGGUUUAUGCACCUUGGCUUUGUACAUGUUUUAAAAUUUGCUCCUCCUUUUGGCCAAAGCCUUUCAGACAUGCGCUGCAUGAAUGCUUCAGACUUCUUUCAUACUGUACUUUCAGACAUGCGCUGCCUUUCACUGCCUUUUCAUCUAAAUAAAACAAUGGCUCACAUGUCUGUUAUAUGUAAGC